UAUGUAUGUUUAUGUAUGUGUGUGUGUAUAUAUAUAUAUAUAUAUAUAUAUACACACACAUGUGUGUGUAGCGUACAUA